rnacentral:rRNA from 1 species
CCUACGGGAGGCAGCAGUCGAGAAUCAUUCACAAUGGGGGAAACCCUGAUGGUGCGACGCCGCGUGGGGGAAUGAAGGUCUUCGGAUUGUAAACCCCUGUCAUGUGGGAGCAAAUUAAAAAGAUAGUACCACAAGAGGAAGAGACGGCUAACUCUGUGCCAGCAGCCGCGGUAAUACAGAGGUGUCAAGCGUUGUUCGGAAUCACUGGGCGUAAAGCGUGCGUAGGCUGUUUCGUAAGUCGUGUGUGAAAGGCGCGGGCCCAACCCGCGGACGGCACAUGAUACUGCGAGACUAGAGUAAUGGAGGGGGAACCGGAAUUCUCGGUGUAGCAGUGAAAUGCGUAGAUAUCGAGAGGAACACUAGUGGCGAAGGCGGGUUCCUGGACAUUAACUGACGCUGAGGCACGAAGGCCAGGGGAGCGAAAGGGAUUAGAUACCCGGGUAGUC